CGUAACAAGGUUUCCGUAGGUGAACCUGCGGAAGGAUCAUUAGUGAAUUUUGAGUGUCUCUUCCACAGAGAGCUCGUCUUCCACUUUUAAACCCUCACUCGUCUUGCUGUUCAAGGCAGACGUUUGAACUUUUUUUAAACGCAAGUAUAAUGAAUGUAACACAAAGUUUAUAACAAAUUAAAACUUUCAACAACGGAUCUCUUGGCUCUCACAUCGAUGAAGAACGCAGCGAAAUGUGAUAAGUAAUGUGAAUUGCAGAAUUCAGUGAAUCAUCGAAUCUUUGAACGCACCUUGCGCUCCCUGGUAUUCCGGGGAGCAUGUCUGUUUGAGUGUUAUGAAACCUUCAACCCACCUGUUUCUUAAUUGAACGUGUUUGUGGUGUUUGGAUCAUGAGCGUCUGCCGGCCGAAAGGUCAGCUCGCUUGGAAUACAUGAGCAGUGUUGUCUUUGGACAUCUGGCUUGACUUGGCGUGAUAGAAUAUUUCGCUGAGGACAACACUUCGUGUGUUGGCCGAUACCUUUGACGAGGGCUCCCAAUGGAUUUCCUUUGAAAUCAUUCAUACUUUGACCUCAAUC
rnacentral:misc_RNA from 1 species